rnacentral:tRNA from 1 species
GGACUUGUGAGGUAGGGGACAUCCUGUCGGUCUUCGGAACCGAGUACCCGGGUUCGAAUCCCGGCAGGUCCA